CGCCGGUGUUUCGGUUUAAUGUGCGACCAUGUUGACUAGUGACUAACGGUUAGCCAAACGCUUCUGUGGUUGUCGUAGUUACAAGUGUUGGAAACAGGGAGAUACUUAGCUAAACUCGUAAAUGCGUCUUCCUUUUUUUUGUUUUUCAUUAACGCUACAGUGUCAAGAAACUACCUGCUCUGUGUCUUGUUUGAUACAAGCAAAGGUGAUGCAGAGACAGCCCAAACCAAGCAGCAAGAGAUGAGAGAAAAGGCAUCAGAGGUUCAGAUGGACAACGACAAAGUCAACCUAGAGCAGAAGUUAUGAGAGAGGCUCCCCAUCUGGAUGGAAGACAGUCCUCUGUGUGCCUGAUUAAUGGCGUGGAGAGACAGUUGCCAGUUCUGAAGCCUUGCUGUCUGGCCCAGGUCAGAACUUCCAGAAGGCAACCUAAUGUUAGUCCAAGAGAGAGAGAAAGAGAGCAAGCCUCAGAGAUUAUUGUGCUAUUUUGUAAUGAGCAGAACGUACCUAAGUUAGUUUUUAGUUCUAACAAUAAAAAGUUACAAAGUCAUUAAUACAAGGAUACGGAUAUGACAGUUUUAAAGAGAAAAAGGAUGCAUCUAUUACUAUUUUUAUUAUGAAAUUAAAGCAAAUAAAUUCUAAGAAUACAAUUUAUACACAAUCUACUUAGCUGCCCUUGAGAUCUAUCACUGUCGUUCAUGCUGCCGCCUUGCAUUCAUACAGUACUGCGACUCUCAAACAACAGUCAAAUAACACCAUGCUUAUAACAAUCAAUUUCUACAUGUCAUGAAUUAAUAUUGUUUUUUCUUGCUUUAAUGUUUUCUUUGAAUAUUUUGUACACAGGAACAGCAAAAAAACAGCAACAACUGAUGCAUUAUUUUACAAUAUUCAAAUAUCGUCAUGUUUGCAUGGUCCAUAAUAACCAGACAACAACUGUGAAGUCCAAUCAAUGCGCCAUUGAUUUAGUGAAUCAUUGCUUUUCUUAUAGCAAAUAAAAACCCUCUGAAAAUUGCUGCUUUUAGCCAGCUAUAGUUGCCUGGGCCUGAGAACAGAAGGGCAGAGUAUCACUCUUGCCACUAGAGCUUUGACUCAUUUGUCCCUAAUGUGUCAAAGAGAAGAUGACAUUUACAGCCUGGUGAAGUGAGGGCCUCCCCG